CCUAUGCUUCUUGUUGUUCCCUCAGUCCCUACAAUCACAAGCAAAUGCUUUUUCUCGUCAACCUUCUGGGAAAUUCAUCUUCACUCAUCAUGAACGCUCAGAUUCUGACCCUCAACAGGUUCAUUUUAUAUUUGUAUAAUUCAUAAUGACACUUUGUUAUAACGUUUUUAAAAUAUGUAAUUUUAAAUAGUUACAUCGUGCGAGGAUAUAAGGUUGGUUUGGUAGCCGGGUGAGAGACUUAAGAGUUGAGUGAUUUCUCACCUCAAACCGAAUACACACUUAAAAUCGUUAUACAUUCCACUCCUUAUAUCCUCUUGCAUCAAAUUUGUAAAUAUUGUGAGAGGAAAUAAGGUUGGUUUGGUAGUCGGGUGUGAGAGUUAAUGAUUAGACUGAUUUCUCACGUCAAAUCGAAUACACGUUUAAAAGCAAACUACCAAUUACUACUAACAUAUUAACAUUGUUUGUUUAAAAGGUGCACAUUUCGUUGGUAGGGAAAGAUCAUAUGAGAGUAUCAUGGAUAACUGAAGAAAAAGACUCAGAAUCUUUGGUAGAGUAUGGAAUAAAAGGAGGUGAAUAUAGCAAAAAAGCAAUUGGUGAAAACACCUCGUACCGUUAUUUCUUGUACAAAUCAGGCAAGAUCCAUCAUGUGGUAAUUGGGCCUCUAAAUCCAAGCACUACUUACUUCUACAGAUGUGGAGGAUCAGGUCCUGAGUUUUCUUUCAAGACACCUCCACUCAAGUUGCCUAUUGAAUUUGUGAUUGUGGGUGAGUUGUUAAUUUAAUUUUGCAUCACGAUUUUAACCAAAACAAUCUUGUAUAAAUUACUUACUUAUAUGUAGGAGACUUGGGACAAACGGAAUGGACAAAAUCAACCUUAAAACACAUUGAUAGCAAAGACUACGACGUAUUUUUGUUACCCGGAGAUCUAUCUUAUGCCGAUACCCAUCAACCACUUUGGGACUCAUUCGGUCGUUUGGUGGAACCCUACGCAAGCCAGAGGCCGUGGAUGGUUACCGAAGGCAACCAUGAGAUUGAGAGUAUCCCUAUUAUCCAACCACAUGCCUUCAGAUCCUACAAUGCUCGUUGGCUCAUGCCCUACAAUGAGAGUGGCUCUACCUCAAACCUCUACUACUCAUUUGAAGUUGCAAGCACUCAUAUCAUCAUGUUGGGUUCUUACACUGAUUUUGAUGCACAGUCCGAACAAUAUAAAUGGCUUCAAUCUGACCUAGCUAAGAUUGAUAGGAAGAGAACACCUUGGGUGAUUGCCUUGGUACAUGCACCUUGGUAUAAUACUAAUGAGGCACAUGAAGGUGAAGGUGAAGAAAUGAGACAGGCCAUGGAAGAAUUGCUUUAUGAGGCUCGUGUUGACUUGGUUUUUUCAGGGCAUGUCCAUGCAUACGAACGCUUUGUAUGUCAUAUUAAUAUUCAUCAUGCCACGAUUCUUUACCAAAAAAAUUGAGACAUCGGAGAAAAUUUAGAAACACAAAAAUAUGAAAUCUAUCUCUAAUUUCGUCCCUAAAUAUUAGAGGCGCUAAAUUUAUAGAUACAUGUUUCGGUGUUUGUCUCUAAUUUUUGUCACAAUUGCAACUUUUCCUUAUUUUUCUUAUUAUAUUUUUUAAAAUCUUUCUAAUUACUUUGAUCCCUUGCAGACUAGAAUCUAUGACAAUAAGGCUGAUCCAUGUGGUCCGUUGUACGUGACAAUUGGUGAUGGAGGAAACCGUGAAGGACUUGCAUUAAAGUGAGUGACAAAAAGUUUAUUUUACUAUCUAAGCUAAUAUUGUUAACCUACAUAUAUUUUUAAUUUUUUUUCUUCUUAUAUUUGUAUAUUUAUAUUUAUGCACAUGUCCAUGUUAAUUGUUGGAUUGUAUAGGUUUAAGAAGCCUCCAAGUCCACUCUCAUUGUAUAGAGAGGCAAGCUUUGGUCAUGGAAGGUUGAGAAUAGUGAACGAAACACAUGCAAAUUGGUCAUGGCAUCGUAACAAUGAUAGUGAAGCAUUUGUAGCUGAAGAUAUAUGGAUCAAGAGUUUGAGCAACACAAAAGAAUGUUGGGAGAGCAUAGGGCAACAAAUUUCUCAUGAAGAGCUCUAAGAUAUAGAAAAGAUAUAGAAGCUUCAUUUAUUAGUUUGUAGUUGAUUUAUUCAUAUUGAAGAGAUUAAUUUCUUCUACUCACUCACAUUGUAAAACUUUUUCCAACUACAUGUGCAAUAAAGUUUUACAUGUUGAAUGCAAAUUAAAUUUUAUAUUUAAGGUUUUUUCUAGAUUACCUUUGAAGAAUGGUGGGUAAUUUACCCACCAACCAAUGAAAAUGAACAAUUUGUUGGUGGGGUCAAGAUAGUUCAUGGAUACCACUUAAAAAUUUGUUUAUGUGGCUAAUGUGUAUUGGUUGGGAUAAAUUACCCACCAUUCUUCCAUGGGUACCCUAGUUGUCACCAUUAUUUAAUUGUUGGGUAAAAUAAAUCAAACAUCAUUAGAAGAAUUAAAAAAGUUACAAGAAUUAAAAAGUUAGAGUCACGCAACGCAACUCAUAUGGUAAAACAUUGUAAGAACGUUUGAUAUUUAGGGUCACCACUUUUUAUUCUUUAGUGUAUGAGUUUCUUUAAUGAACUCUAUAUUUUAAGCAUAUGUUGCAAUUCCAAAAUAUCUUUCUCUCUUAUGCUUUGCGACACUGUUUAUGAAGAAAAAGAGAGCCUUCUUUUUCGAUUUAUUUAUUCAUUUCGCACAAAGAAACCCUUGUUUUUCCAUUAUCCAAUCAAAAGUGUGGGUUUUUCCUUUAAUCAGAGUGAACCUCACUUUAUCAAAUGAGUAAGUCUUGUAUAUCGUACCAAAUAUACAAUGUUUAAGCACAUAUAUUUAAAUGACUUUUUCUUCCUUAAAAAAAAAAAAAAACUUUUUAUAAUAAUAAAAUAAAAUAGAUAAAAAUUUGAUUUGACAUUUUAGGGAUAAGAGUUUCUUUGUGUAUCCAAACACUAUGUGUUUGAUCUUGUAACCAUACAAGAUUUGUUCAAAUAUAGCAAACAUAGUUAUUUAAUUGUUCUUUAGACACUUAUGACACAUGCACAUCAAACUAUUCGAAAUACCUCCUACAAUAAUUAAUUAUUGUUUGACAAACUUUAUAACUAAUUACACCGAUUUAAAAAAUAAUUUAAUCAACUUAAAAAGUAGUUGAACGGAAAUUAACUACCAUUUUAAAGCAAACGAGAGCUAAUUACCUAUGUGGGUUUAGGUUAAAAAGAAAUGUUGCUUGAAUAAUAGCGCCCGCAUGGAGAGAGUGAUUGCGAUUCGACGAUGCUAAGUUGACACCUAUGUGGGUUUAGGUUGUCAGAAAUAUCUACACAACAAAAAACAAUAAAAAAAAAUAAAAAAAAUUCAAUGAACAUCUUAUGGAGGCAUUUCAUCAAAACAUUUAGAAUGCAAAAUAUACAUUGAGUUUAUUUUGUUAUUUCAAUUUCUAAACUACCACAUUGCACUUAAUCUUACUCUUAUUAACAGUCACAGUUCAAACAUGUAAGCAUUUGAUCAUUAACUGCCAAACUGACAAUUUCAUAAACCCUAAAAACUAACACAUGACAACUUUAAACAAAAAAAUCUAACAUUUAAAACAAAACGACUCUAUGCAAAAGAUCAUGAACACUUACUUGUAGUUGAGGUUAAAGUUGAACUUGAUUUGCUUGAAGUUGAAGAAAUUUGAUUAGCUUGAGUAUGGAGGGAGAAUUUUGAUUGAAGUAGUGUUUUGAAAGAAUCAGUUAACGGCUGUUGCUAUUCUGGAAUAAACCAAAACGCUGCGGCAAUUAACCGUCGUUUGGGGUGAGCAAUAGUUAACUGCCGUUGAGUUCAAUUAGGUAAUUUUGGGGUGUUAAUGCAAUUCUAAAGUUAGAAGAACAAUUUUCCUGAUACAAAGGGGCAGAUAUACAGUUGGCUUUGAAGCCCAUAGCCCGACCUUUGCUGCUCGUAGUAUGAAAUGUAUAGGAUUGGUGUUAGCAUGAAUGUAUGUAUGUAUGUAUGUAUGCAUGCAUGCAUGUAUCUAUUUGUGUGUGUGUCAUGUACGUUAGUAUUAUCAAUAGUCAUGAUAUAUAAAAGUAUGAUGGCUACUAGCUGCAUAAUUAAGCCACUAUAUAAUGGAUUUAAUUUUUUUAGUUACAAUGUAGUGAAUAUAACGAAAACACCAUGAUAAAUGUGAAGAAUUUAGGGAGACCUCGAAUAAUAGAGGGAUCUCUCUUUCUAAGGCAGUGUCCAGAGGAACUUGUUGAAAUAUUAUGAACUAUGUGUAUAUUUAUGUAUAUGUGAUAUCAUGAAGCUAUCAGGUGCAUUACUUAUUAUUAGCUUAUGAAUCUAAAGUAAGGACAGUUCGUCAUAAAGCCUAAAUGACACAGUUAUGAAUGUAUGGUUUUAUAAUAAGAAGAUUUCUUAAUAUGAGUUUUAAGCGAUGAUUUUCCGUUGAUGGUGUUUUAUGUUCUACCCCUUUUUGGGAAAUGAGAAAGUAUAUCUAAUCCCACAUUAUUAUUUUUUUCAGAUGUCAAUACACAUUGAAUGGUUGAGGGUUAUAACUACUUGUCAAUCAUUU
rnacentral:lncRNA from 1 species